UCCUAACUUCAAUGGGUAUUUUCUUAUUCUUCUUAUUGGAUUUUUUUUAAAAUAUAUUUUUUCUGCCACUGUGGGGAAUCAUUGCGUCCAACUGCACUGCGCUUAGUGAUAAUCAAAUGCGGGUCGUUGAUAUUCUUCAAAAACAUUCAAAUUCCAAGCUCAACGUGUCCUUUAAUAGCAAAUUGAUUUUUAAAUUUGGUAACUGCUUUUCUUCAUCAUUGAAUACUUUGAUUCUUCCUGCUAUCUUCCUAGGAUAAUUUCUGUCAUG
rnacentral:misc_RNA from 1 species